rnacentral:rRNA from 1 species
GAUGAACGCUGGCGGCGUGCCUAAUACAUGCAAGUCGAGCGAACAGACGAGGAGCUUGCUCCUCUGACGUUAGCGGCGGACGGGUGAGUAACACGUGGAUAACCUACCUAUAAGACUGGGAUAACUUCGGGAAACCGGAGCUAAUACCGGAUAAUAUAUUGAACCGCAUGGUUCAAUAGUGAAAGACGGUUUUGCUGUCACUUAUAGAUGGAUCCGCGCCGCAUUAGCUAGUUGGUAAGGUAACGGAUUACCAAGGCAACGAUGCGUAGCCGACCUGAGAGGGUGAUCGGCCACACGGAAACUGAGACACGGUCCAGACUCCUACGGGAGGCAGCAGUAGGGAAUCUUCCGCAAUGGGCGAAAGCCUGACGGAGCAACGCCGCGUGAGUGAUGAAGGUCUUCGGAUCGUAAAACUCUGUUAUUAGGGAAGAACAAAUGUGUAAGUAACUAUGCACGUCUUGACGGUACCUAAUCAGAAAGCCACGGCUAACUACGUG